GGGCCCGUAACUCAGAAGAUUAGAGUCUGCGGCUAGGAAUCACGGUGUCGGGGGUUAAAAUCCCUUCUUGCGCA
rnacentral:tRNA from 1 species